AUUGAACGCUGGCGGCAGGCCUAACACAUGCAAGUCGAACGGUAGCACAGGAGAGCUUGCUCUCUGGGUGACGAGUGGCGGACGGGUGAGUAAUGCAUGGGGAGCUGCCCAAUCGAGGGGGAUACCAGCUGGAAACGGCUGCUAAUACCGCAUACGCCCUGAGGGGGAAAGGUGGGGACCUUCGGGCCUACCGCGAUUGGAUGCACCCAUGUGGGAUUAGCUAGUUGGUGAGGUAACGGCUCACCAAGGCGACGAUCUCUAGCUGGUCUGAGAGGAUGACCAGCCACACUGGAACUGAGACACGGUCCAGACUCCUACGGGAGGCAGCAGUGGGGAAUAUUGCACAAUGGGGGAAACCCUGAUGCAGCCAGGCCGCGUGUGUGAAGAAGGCCUUCGGGUUGUAAAGCACUUUCAGUGGGGAGGAAGGGGCGAUGCCUAAUACGCAUUGUCAUUGACGUUACCCACAGAAGAAGCACCGGCUAACUCCGUGCCAGCCGCCGCCGUAA
rnacentral:rRNA from 1 species